GGCUUGUCUUUUUGUUCCUGAAAGAAAUCACACCUAGAAGAAAAAGAGGCAGAGUAUCAGGCACUUGGAAAAAGAUCUGACCUGAGGUGAAGUAAAGGACCCACACUGAGGCAGAGCCCCGUGGACCUGAUGCCUGGCCCCUUCUGCUCUCCCUGGCACUCCCGUCACUUCUGGCCACUGGACCGUGCCUGCUCACCAAGCCCCACUGAAGGGUGCAAGUGAGUGUGGGGAAGGUGGGCACAGCAGCCCCUGAGGCCCAAGCCGAGGCUGGGCUUCCCUUUCCUGGCAGGUGCUCAGACAGAGCCCUGGAGCAGGACUGGAGGCCGUCAGAGAAGGGCCUGCGGGUAUGGCUGGCAGAGCGCGUCUGGCAGUGUUGGCUGACCACCUGUGGACGGCGCUGGAGGCCCUAUUGGGCGAGCACAGGCGCCGCAGAUGCGGGGAUGCGAGCUGGGACUCUGCAGGGCCCUGUGUGAGCUCCUCACUCUGGGGCACAGAGUGAAGUUCCCGUUCUUCUCUCCCUGGUCUUCCUUGCUUCUCUGCAGGCCCAGGGAGAACCCCUGAGCUACAAAAUCCUCUUCCCAGGCCGAGAGCUCUAGAAUGCUCCGGGCUGGUUGCCCACAUCUGGGGUCAGGUUCUCAGGAAGGCUUGUCAAGGUCUGGGGCAUCCAAACGAAACAGGAAUCGAGUCCCCAGCAGAGCUUCUGUGAAUAGUGUCAUUUCUGUGAUGGCGCCCCUGGAGGUGUGCAGUGCAUUAUCUGGUGUGGCUGGGGGCACUGGAUUGGAGGCAAAGGAAGGGCCAGGGUCCCUGUGACACCCACCCACCCCCCGGCCAGAGAGAGUCAGAGGGAGGGAGGUGGCUGGUUUCAGCUCAGUGGAUAGAAAAGUUUCCAAGGCCCAGUUGCCCCUGGCGAAAGCUGCAAUCCCCAGGGAGUGAGGAAGGUGAAGGCUCAUGCAAGUUGAAGAUUCUAGGGGAGGCCCCCAGAACCCCUGCCCCAUGUGGGCAGCACCACACCGUGAUGGCCUAGGCUCCUAAGCUUUUAGUCACCGGGGGUCUCAGCCCACAGCUGACCCUCCUAGAGCUCCUGCUCCCUACCAUGCUGGGGGUGACCCUGGGGACCCACCCGUCUGCUCCUGCCUCCCACUCUCUAGCAUUCCAUGACAGCAUCCCUCCUCCUUUUGCCGGAGCUCCAAAGCCAUCAGCAGCUAGUGUGGAGGAGUGCUGUAUCAGGUCCAGCUGGAGGUGGGGGGUUACGUGUCUGGAGCCUAUAGUGGUAACAGCAGCCCCUCGGAGCUGUGGGGCACAGUCCCAGGUGUACAAGCCAGGACUCGGGUCUGUGCUGGGCUAGCAGCCGGGCCCUUGGUGGGGCUUAUCGCAGCGGUGGAGCAGGCAGGGCCUUGUGGAGUCUGCCUGCUUUAUCAAAAUCUACAGACACUGCCGUGCCUGGGGACAGGGAUGGCCCUCUGCAGGGGCUCUGUGCUGCCUUCAGCCCUCCUGGCAACAGGUGGAAAGCUCCCUGGCCCACCUGGCGCAGGAGAGGCACCAGCUGCAGGGAUCCCAGAGACAGGAGUGGAGGCCAGACCGGGACACACAAGACAGGUCAGGGUGCCCGGUUAUGGGUGAAGGGCACGGUGGCAGAGGACGGGCAAGAUCGUGCUACUGCAGACGGAAAUGGAAAAAGCCCAGCCGUGUUUGGACCAGAGGAGCCAAGGGCCCCGUGGGCCAGAGCCCUUCUCUAAGUGGGUGCCUGGCAGGGCGCUGAACACCGGCCCUGCCUUCUACUUCAUUCUUUGGUCUUCAUUCUUAGAGCAGCAGCUGGCAGAGGAGGGCAGUGCGAAGAUUUCUGUUCAGUUCCCUCCCCGUCAACAUUUGGGAAGAUGCUGCCAUCACCCGGCCUACUCCCCUCCGGGUCCAGAUGGGAAAACAAAGCCAUCUUUGUAGGAAAGAACUUGUUCAGGCUCCAGACAGUGUGGUCUGGAGGCUGUGAGGAGACCUCAGGAUCCUGGACCGAAUGUACCUGCAGGAGAUGCUGGUGUCAGGCCUGCAGGGCCAGGAGCUGAGCUGCGAUGGGGACAGGGCCCGGGCACUUUAGGGCCCGGAUGACGUCUUGAUGGGGGCAGCCGAGACCCCUGCCCAGGCUCAGGAUAUAGCCUUCCUGCAGGAGCAGCUGUUGAUCCUUGGGUCAGGUGGCCCAAGACAGCUGGCAGGAUCGUGCCCCCCCGCCCCCCAGGGAAUCCAGGGCACCAGCUGAGCCAGCCUGUGCCCACCUAUACCAGUGGGGCAGAGAACCAGGGGAUUCUAGGCCCUGACCUUGGGGAUUCCAAAGUUGGAUGAGGGGCCUAGGGACACCAUGGAAAAGGGAAUGCCCAGGAGGGACAGAUUGGAGCAGGGCCUCCACACAAUGCAACUCCAGCGUGCACCGUUCCCACUGUGGCCCCAGAAAGCGCCCUUUGGUGGUACGCAGCCUGCCUUAACCCGUCUGGUCCAGAUUGAAAGCUUGGGGUUUGGAGAAGUCCCUUGGGGGCUGGGGAGGUCAGAGGAGGCCUCUUGGAAGAGUUGAGUCCCAGAGGAUGAGGGAAAAAAGGGCUCUGGGAGAGGGUAAAGGCCUGGUGGCUAGCCUGAGCAGACCGAUCCCAGCCAGGUGAGCCCCACAGUCCGGUUGGAGGCCGAGCCAUGAGUGGGGGGAAGGGGGAUCUUCACAAGUGAACAGGAGACUCUCAGAAGAGCUGGGCAGAACCCCCAGUGACCAGUGGUCUGCUUAGAGCAGCCUAGAGGCUGGUCUCCACAGCCUCUAGGAGAGCACAUACGGUGUCAGAGGGCCCCAUGCAGGCCCCGGGGGCAGAGCACCAGGGCUGCGUGCGGAGAGGGUGGUGUGGCGAGCAGCACUGGGGGUGCCCCCCGGAGGCCUGGCAAGUAGCCACUCAGGCCCACCCUCAGAUCGUCUCACACUGGGUGAGAUGGCCCUGUGGGCAGGAGGCGGGCCAGCCUCUGUCCCCAAAUCCUGAAUCAUGUGGCCAAAUUCCCAGAUUCCCUUCCCUGGGUAUUAACACUCCUGGGUGUCCCAUUCUGGCCCUUUAAGGGGAGCACGGGGGAAAUCUUUCAGCUUCCACAAAUCCUGUCUCUGCCACGUAUGGCCAAACCUUUCCUGCUGGCCCAGGGCCAGGCUGGGGGGGAGGCAAGAUGACCUUAGCUGCUGGGCUCAAGUCAGGAUGCUUGGGAGUGGAAGUGCCCAGGACAGAGGGUUCUGUGUGUGUAGGGGCCACAGAGGAGGCGUCUCUGCCCCAGUCCCCAUCCCAGCCAGUAAGACACCGUGAGGACGUCCAUGCAACUUGGAAAGAAACCAUUGAAAAUGGGUUGGGGCGAUCUGGGGCCCAUACUGUGUCCAUUUCUACUAACACACUCUAGGUCCAGGAGGUGCCAGUGCCCCUAAGGAAAGAGCUAGAAAAGGAAGAAUCCCAUCCCAGGCUUCAAGAGAAGGUGGCUGAGUGCUGGAAGGCACGCUGGCACCAGGUGGUAGUUGCCCUGAAAUUUAAAGAACUGCAGAGACCCCAGACAGAGACCGAGGUCUGGUCUCCCCAGGGGCACCUGGGUGGCU